CGCCCUAGAAAUUUUUAUUAUAUAAAAAAUAGACGAUAAAGUAUAUUGUUUAUAAAAAUAUGUUUUAAAGUAGUACUCGCAUAGGCAAGUUUUCUAAAAGGUUCUUUCAAGCAGAGUUCUCGCGAUUCAACCAACCAUACCCGCUGAUUGCUGUAUGGACUAAGUUAGUAAAAGCAGUAUUAGUUUUUACAAUAGAUCCUUUUUAAAAAGCACCUAAAGGGCUAAUGUUCGAAAAUUAUACGAAAAGAUGUGGCGACUAACAGAAGUUUUCGAGUCCAGAGUGUAUUCUUGUAGAACCCCCAGAGGUGAUCUAGUGAUUCAUCUCCAGAGCAACCGAUUCCCCAAUCGAUGACGACGUGCACGUUCCAUUGCCCGACUAUGAGGAAGUUCGAUUAAGAAUUACCCGUCUGAAGACCAACAUAGCGGAGGAGGCCGAUGGAAUGCCGGCCGAGCUAUUCAAAUACGGCGGCGAAGAGCUGAUAAGAAGCAUGCACCAGCUUCUUUGUAGAUUAUGGUCGGACAAAAGCAUGUUCGACGAUGGGUAUUUAAGUGUGCUUCGCCCAAUACACAAAAAGGGAGAUCUUACAAUCUGCGCCAAUUACCGUGAGAGCUGCCUUUGACAACCCGAAAAGGAGCUGCCUUAAGAUCUAAAUUUGGAAUCCCCGCAAAUCUAAUACGACUUUGUAAACUGACGUUGAGCAAUACUGAAAGCUCCGUCAGGAAAGGGAAAGAUUUCUUCGAGUCAUGUGAUACCAAACGAGGUAUCAGACAAGGUGACUCUCUUUCGUGCGACUUCUUCUAACUACUCCAGGAAAAAUAAUUUGGGUCAGGUAGUGAACGAGGCAAGACGAAAUAUCUCCUAUCAUCAAAAAAAUAGUCGUCGCACUGGCGACUUCGCUCACACGUCACUGUCGCAGUCGUAACUUCGAAGUUGUACAUAAUUCCGUCUAUCUUGGAACCACAACAUCAGCUUCAAAAUCCGACGCAGAAUAACUUUGGCAAACAGGUGCUACUUGGGACUGAAUAGGCAAUUGAGCAGUAAGGUCGAUGACCAAAGACCAAAUUCUACGAAUCACUCAUCAUCUCCGUCCUGCUAUAUGGUGCAGAGGCCUAGACGAUGACAACAUCUGAUGAACCGGUGUUGCGAGUUUUCGAGAGAAAAGUUCUGCGAAAGAUUUAUGGUCCUUUGCGCAUUGGCCACGGCGAAUAUCGCAUUCGAUGGAACGAUGAGCUGUAUGAGAUAUACGACGACAUUGAACAUAGUUCAGCGAAUUAAAAGACAGCGGCUACAUUGGCUAGGUUUUCUCAUUCGAAUGAACACUUCAGCUCUGAGAGUAUUCGACGCAGUAGCCGCCAGCGAAAGCUGAAGAAGAGAAAGACCCUCACUCCGUUGUAAAGACCAGGUGGAGGACCUGGCUACGCUUGGAAUCUUAUUGGCGCCAAACAGCGAAAAAGAAGAAGGACUAUCGCGCUUUUAUAAACUCGACUAUAUCCGCGUAAGCGGUGUCUACGCCGAUAGAGAAGAAUAAGUAAAAGGGAUGUAGGGGUCAAACCACCACAAUGGACUAAAAUGACAAAAAUAUAUUUACGUGAUGGCAAAUUUUUGAACUCCAAAUACGUAAUCAGGACAACUCAAAUACCCCACAGACCUCUUAGCAGUCGCAAUUUUUUCCUUCAGAUUUGUUGAGUAAUGUAACCUUCUUCUUUGAAGGUAGUCCUUUGCUGAGUGACUCGUAUUUUGGUGAUUCUAUAGUCAUAUUCGCAGAUUUUCUUGAAGUUAUGCCUAGUAUUUGUCAAUUAUAGAUUCCUAAACUCAAAACACACUUCAGUAUCUCGAUGAAAAAAAUAAAAAAUUCUUUGCCACUUCCAAGAAACAUAUCAAUCAAGUUGAAACCUUUCCUAGAUUUAUCACUUAGCACCUCCAGAUAUCUCGAUUAUUUUUUUUUUGUUGCAUAUUUAUUUGGUACCCCCAACAUACAUAAAAGCCUAAGUAGGCACACAACCGGCCUGGCGGUGCCAAAGAGUAUCAACACUGAUUAUGCGCACAUCAAUUGAAACACGACUAAAUGCGUGAAAUUAUAAUUUCUAAUGCAAUCAAAGAGAGUGAUAAGGUCCAUUAUCCCUUCUUUGCCAUACUACAGCUUAAAGCCGUUAAGCGGAGCGCUGGUAGUUGCCUGUGGAGACAAGUGGGUGGCCUAUAUAAAAGCAACAAUAAAUAAAAUCAACAAUCACUGAUGUUUACCAACGCUGACAGGUGUUAAAAAUGGCGCUAAAGCUUGAGACGUUGGAAGCAAGUGUGGCAAGAAAGGAAGUAAACAAAAGUGCACGUUAGCUGACAGGCAGACAUGUACACACAAAUACACAUUCACAAAACGGAGGCAUCACACAAUUGGCUUUACAAUGGAAGCCACUUAAGUUGACCACCUGGCUGUGUUGCUGUUGAGUUAUAAGCCGAGCCAUAGCGCUGGUGAACCGCAAGGCAGAAGGACUUAUCGGUUGCUUAUGGAAAGAAAGCUGAAAAGGUCAAGAUAGAGUUAAUGCACUGCGAAUAAGCAUAAAGUAAUAACUUAUGCGUCGGAAAAGGGAAAAAAGUAAACGAAACAAAAUCAUUUAUUAGAUAAACACUAGAAAGCACUCGUCGUGUGGUACGUUUAGUGGCUGAUUGACUAGCAAGAUAAAUGAAUAAAUGUAUUUGCUAAAUAGCUUCAGGAUUGAGCGGUGCCUAAUAAAAUUAAGCCAAAUUAAUUAAUGCAA